rnacentral:lncRNA from 1 species
UUAAAGACUCGCAAUCCUGCCUCGAUCUGCCAUGGCCUCCCACCACUGCUGCAUCAUCGCCUCCAUAGCCAUGGCGAAUCUAGGAAAUGAUCCUUACCCAAUUAGCUCCUUGCCAGAGGCGCCAUUCUGGAUUUCAAUCCCCGAGCGAUUGAGUUGGCGGAGAAAGAGAUCCGGCCAACCCAGCCUCGACCUCCCAGGGUCAGGGAUGAGCAAUCGAGAGCUUGAGGCUUCCAUCUUCUACGAUGCAUGAUAGUUAGUCGCAUGGAAAGUAAGAAAAGCACAGAUCUCUGGGCGAGGGCAAGCGCAUUGACGAGAAAAUCGUCUCCUGCGGUCUCGAUCGUCAUAGCUUCCUCACGAACCUCGUCAUGGAAAUGUAUGGAAAGUACUGGCGCGGGAGAUACGUCUUGGGAAUCUUCCACAAGACGGAAGAUGGAGAUGUUUUCUUUGCGGCAUUUGCCCAAAACGGGUAAGUUCUGGCGUUCUCCCGGCAAAUGCCUCUCGAUCUAAUUCCGUCACAUUCUUGCAGCUACUCCCGAUGCAAGCUCUCGUCUUCCAGGAGAUUGAAUUCAAGGACGCCAGCUCCUCGAAGGGAUCAAGCCCAACCACAUCUCCUUUUUCACGGACGAGCUAAGACUUAUCAAAACUGUUCAUAAACCGAUUAAACAAAACUUUAAGUUGGGUCUCUGUGCCACCAAAUUCCUUUAGAUAGCCGGCUAACAGGUUAUGGGAGAUUAGGUCACGAACGCCUAUGAUGCUGAUCUACCAGCAUCAACCAUUCUCUCGUGAGCAGCUGAACUAUCAAAACGGAAGGUUGACCCUGGAUUGGGAGCUUUUCGAGCCCACAAGUAUGCUGGCUGCAUUGUAGUGAAGUUCGUUUCAAUUUCUGAAAACCAUUGGACUUCACAAACUUCUAAUGCGGUGAGCGUGGAUGGAAC